UACGAAGGGUGCUAGCGUUGUUCGGAAUGACUGGGCGUAAAGGGAGCGUAGGCGGUUGAGUACGUUUGAUGUGAAAGUCCUGGGCUUAACCUGGGGACUGCAUUGAAUACGGCUUGACUUGAGGUAUAGAGGGGAAGAUGGAAUUGCGUGUGUAGAGGUGAAAUUCGUAGGUAUACGCAAGAACACCAGUGGCGAAGGCGGCUACCUGGACCGGUUCUGACGCUGAGGCGCGAAAGCGUGGGUAGCAAACAGG
rnacentral:rRNA from 1 species